AGCACCGACCAACAUGUAUCAGUGAUUAAGCAAGAGUGCCAAAAAACUAGGCCAAAUGUGGAUGUCAUUCAAACGCACCUCAGGAAAAUACAGAAGUACAGAACACACUACAUUCUUCAGCAUACUACUGAAGAGGUUCUACGAGAAUUCCCAUGUCUCACUAUCCCUGUUGUGCUUCUUGAAGAGGCUUCCAUGUUACUUAAAACUGAUGUGGACAAAAAAGUAAUCCGAGGAUUCAGUAAGUUGGCAGCGAAGCUUGUGUCAAUAGCCCCAAACAGCAACCUUAAAAGCCUUUGCUUAAAAUCUGUUGAUGAGAGCCAGACAGACACUGAAAGAAAAGGUCAGAUAGUAAACACAGCUGUUCUUCUCCUGCCAUCUAUUUUCAAAGAAAAUGCCUCUCAUCUCUUCGUCAUAAAUAAGG